GACGAACGCUGGCGGCGUGCUUAACACAUGCAAGUCGAACGGAAAGGCCCUGCUUUUGUGGGGUGCUCGAGUGGCGAACGGGUGAGUAACACGUGAGUAACCUGCCCUUGACUUUGGGAUAACUUCAGGAAACUGGGGCUAAUACCGGAUAGGAGCUCCUGCUGCAUGGGGGGGGUUGGAAAGUUUCGGCGGUUGGGGAUGGACUCGCGGCUUAUCAGCUUGUUGGUGGGGUAGUGGCUUACCAAGGCUUUGACGGGUAGCCGGCCUGAGAGGGUGACCGGCCACAUUGGGACUGAGAUACGGCCCAGACUCCUACGGGAGGCAGCAGUGGGGAAUAUUGCAGAAUGGGCGGAAGCCUGAGACAGCAACGCCGCGUGCGGAAUGACGGCCUUCGGGUUGUAAACCGCUUUCGCCUGUGACGAAGCGUGAGUGACGGUAAUGGGUAAAGAAGCACCGGCUAACUACGUG
rnacentral:rRNA from 1 species